AACGGUCUAUACCUGCGGUACCUGCGGAAGGAUCAUUAACGAAUAACUAUGGUGUUGGUUGUAGCUGGCUCCUCGGAGCAAUGUGCACGCCCGCCAUUUUUAUCUUUCCACCUGUGCACCGACUGUAGGUCUGGAUACCUCUCGCCUCCGGGCGGAUGCGAGGGUUGCUCGUAAGGGCUUCCCUUGAACUUCCAGGCUCUACGUCUUUUUACACACCCCAAUAGUAUGAUGCAGAAUGUA
rnacentral:misc_RNA from 1 species